rnacentral:rRNA from 1 species
UGGGGAAUUUUGGACAAUGGGGGAAACCCUGAUCCAGCCAUCCCGCGUGUGCGAUGAAGGCCUUCGGGUUGUAAAGCACUUUUGGCAGGAAGAAACGUCGCGGGUUAAUACCCCGCGAAACUGACGGUACCUGCAGAAUAAGCACCGGCUAACUACGUGCCAGCAGCCGCGGUAAUACGUAGGGUGCAAGCGUUAAUCGGAAUUACUGGGCGUAAAGCGUGCGCAGGCGGUUCGGAAAGAAAGAUGUGAAAUCCCAGAGCUUAACUUUGGAACUGCAUUUUUAAACUACCGGGCUAGAGUGUGUCAGAGGGAGGUGGAAUUCCGCGUGUAGCAGUGAAAUGCGUAGAUAUGCGGAGGAACACCGAUGGCGAAGGCAGCCUCCUGGGAUAACACUGACGCUCAUGCACGAAAGCGUGGGGAGCAAACAGGAUUAGAUACCCUGGUAGU